rnacentral:rRNA from 1 species
AUUGAACGCUGGCGGCAUGCUUUAUACAUGCAAGUCGUGCGGCAGCGCGGGGGCAACUCUGGCGGCGAGCGGCGAACGGGUGAGUAAUACAUAGGAACGUAUCCUGAAAUGGGGGAUAGCUCGGCGAAAGCCGGAUUAAUACCGCAUACGCUCCACGGAGGAAAGCAGGGGAUCGCAAGACCUUGCGUUUCNGGAGCGGCCUAUGUCUGAUUAGCUAGUGGCGGGUAAUAGCCCACCAAGGCGACGAUCAGUAGCUGGUCUGAGAGGAUGAUCAGCCACACUGGGACUGAGACACGGGCCCAGACUCCUACGGGAGGCAGCAGUAGGGAAUUUUGGACAAUGGGGGCAACCCUGAUCCAGCCAUGCCGCGUGAGUGAAGAAGGCCU